rnacentral:misc_RNA from 1 species
CAGAGAACAUCGCCCGCAAGGGUGACUCUCCAACCCUAUGUUAAUUAUACCUUUGUUGCUUUGGCGAGCCGCUUCGGCCACCGGCUCACGCUGGUGAGCGCUCGCCAGAGGACCCUAAACUCUGUUUAUACAUGUCGUCUGAGUACUAUAUAAUAGUUAAAACUUUCAACAACGGAUCUCUUGGUUCUGGCAUCGAUGAAGAACGCAGCGAAAUGCGAUAAGUAAUGUGAAUUGCAGAAUUCAGUGAAUCAUCGAAUCUUUGAACGCACAUUGCGCCCUGUGGUAUUCCGCAGGGCAUGCCUGUUCGAGCGUCAGUACAACACUCAAGCCUAGCUUGGUCUUGGGCGUCACCAGUAAUGGUGUGCCUUAAAAUUAGUGGCGGCGCCUGUGAGGCUCUAAGCGUAGUAAUACUCCUCGCUUCAGGGACCCUUAUAGGAGCUGGCCAGCAACCCCCAACUUUCUAAG